UCAUUACAGCGUUGCCGACGUCGGCCCCUCCUCGGGGGGGGUCGCCGGCAUAUGCCCAUUCUUGUCUACUGACCCAGUUGCCUCGGCGCGCCGCUCCGCCUAGCGGACGGCCGGAAGCCGUCAGGACGUCUCCCCUCGGGGGGGCAGCCCGGCGGCCCUGGUCCGCGCCCGCCGAAGGACAGUCUAAAACUCUUUACUUAAACGGCCGUCUGAGCGUAUAAGCAAAAAUUAAUUAAAACUUUCAACAACGGAUCUCUUGGUUCCGGCAUCGAUGAAGAACGCAGCGAAAUGCGAUAAGUAAUGUGAAUUGCAGAAUUCCGUGAAUCAUCGAAUCUUUGAACGCACAUUGCGCCCUCUGGUAUUCCGGAGGGCAUGCCUGUUCGAGCGUCAUUGCAACCCUCAAGCCCGGCUUGUGUGAUGGACGACCGUCCCGCCCCCUUGGGGCGUGGGACGCGCCCGAAAAGCAGUGGCCAGGCCGAGCUUCCGGCGCCUGAGCGAAUGGGACUUCCACCGCUUCUAGGACCGGCCGGCAUCUGGCCUCAAACCGAAGGCCUCCUUCACCGGAGCCUUCACCACCAAGGUUGACCUCGGAUCAGGUAGGGAUACCCGCUGAACUUAAGCAUAUCA
rnacentral:misc_RNA from 1 species